CUUCCAUCUGGAACGAAGUCUGGAGACAGGUGCUGCAUGGCUGUCGUCAGCUCGUGUCGUGAGAUGUUGGGUUAAGUCCCGCAACGAGCGCAACCCUUGCCUUUAGUUGCCAGCAGUUCGGCUGGGCGACUCUAAAGGGGACUGCCGGUGUUAAACCGGAGGAAGGUGGGGAUGACGUCAAGUCCUCAUGGCCUUUAUGACCAGGGCUACACACGUACUACAAUGGCCGAUACAAAGGGCAGCGACACUGCGAGGUGAAGCCAAUCCCGUAAAAUCGGUCUCAGUCCGGAUUGGAGUCUGCAACUCGACUCCAUGAAGUUGGAAUCGCUAGUAAUCGUGGAUCAGCAUGCCACGGUGAAUACGUUCCCGGGCCUU
rnacentral:rRNA from 1 species